GUGAUAAUGAUGAAGCAAAUAAUCUAAUCCAACACUUGAUCUGAUUUAUGCUAUGUGCAUCUGAUGCUAUAACAGUUUAGCUUCUGAAUCCCC
rfam:Brassica napus, WGS project CCCW01000000 data, contig: 29090